AGGCGUUGAAAACCUAGUCCCUUUCUCUCUCCAAGCAAAAGGCGCCGCUCGUUCAUCUUUGUUGCUCCGGCGGUUGGCGUCUCUUGCCACCGUCGGAAGCGGUUCUAAUUUUUUUCUUCUUAGCUUGGCGGAUCUCCACUUUGGACUUGCGACGUUGAAGGUUUGGGUUGCGAUCUGGCUUCAAAGAGAUGUUUUGUGUGGUUAUUUGGUCAGAUCUUUGUUCGCUCUUGCUGGAUUGGAGAAUCGGCGGUCUGAGGUAGCGAUUGGCUUCGGUGAGGUGGUCGUUGGCCUGUUGGUAGUGGUCCGACACCGGUGAAGUUCAUGGGCCUCGUCUUGUCUUGAUUUUUUCCUGUUUGCAACCUUUUCUUUGACGUUUAUAGUAUGGUGAAGUUAUCUUUAUUUAGACUAGUUUGAGGCUGUGGUUGCUUGUGAAAGGCUUUGUUGUGAGAGCGUGUGUCUGUGUUUCUACCGGAUUGCUUGGGGGGGUCUGCUAGUUUCGAAAUUAUUUUCUGGUGCGCGGUGGCAGGUUUAGCCGGCUCUGAUGUGGGGUUGUAAUUCUUCCAUCGAUCCUGGUGUCUCGUUUUCAGGUGGUCAAUGGUGGUGCGUUGUGCUAGUUUCUCCAGCUCUGCCCUUUCGUUAGUGCAUCAAAGAUUUCUUAAGCGCUUGGGAGUUUGUGUGGUCUGCGGCAAGUGUGGAUGGUGUCUUCUCUCGGGUCUGCGGUUAGGUUCUUCUCUGUGGUCUCCGGAUAGAAGCUAUCAUCCUUGGAGCGUAUGAUGACUUUCUUGUGGUUAUCUUUCGUUUCGCCGUUUUCACUCGGUCGUUCAUUUAGAUUUCAGUGGGUGAAGUGCAAGUGUUAUGAAGUUGUGCUGUCCCUUGGUCUGCAACCGACGGGUUCUUCCGGAUUACUUGGUAAGGGGCUGUGGAGCUUUUGCUCAAUUGCGUGAGGUCUUGGAGUAGUUGAUUGCCUAACAUGCAUCUUCAUUGGCUGCUCGGGUUGGAAUUUGAUGUUUCUUUGGCUUCUUUGAGGUGAAGCAAUGGUAAGUGUGGUGUUUGUUUGUGGUUUCUCCUUCAACCCCAAUAAUAUAGGCCUGCUACGCUUUCUCGAUCAAUCCUGCUUCUAACGCUGGUUGCUUCGCCUGCCUUGAUUGUAUGGUUAUUCUCCUUUGGCGCUUAGUUAUCUUGUUCUCCUUAGUUUAUGUUAGUUUCUUGGGGGUAAGUGUUUGCUUCAGUCCUUGUUUCUGGGUAGUAUCUUGUUUCUACGCCGGCUUAUGAUUUCAGAAAGGUUGUAUACCUUUGCUGACUUUGUGCGUAAAACUCUGUUUGAACCUUUUAUUAAUCUAAUAGAUGACAAAAAAAAAAGUAA